UCUAGUAUCUCUUCCUCUCUUCUCUUAACGCGUAUGGACACAGAACUUAAUCGAGCAGCUUACCAACUACGUGAGAAUUUAGUUCUGGGUUAACCGAGAUUAGCAAACCUGGAGUAUACUGCAAACCCAGUGAAAACAUUAAAACUUUGGUCUAACUAUGGAGGAUCUGUGAGCGUUUUCUCAGCCUUAACGUGGACCAUAUGACAUCCAUCAGAAGCAGCAGUGUUAGCUGAGAUUUCUAUUUUUUUCACUUACCCUCUCGGAGCAUUUCUUCCUGACGUCUGGGAGCCUCUUACCAGGCAAAAACUGGACCCCUCCGCUUCUAUCCCAUCGCAAUGGUCCCGCUGAACUGUCUCUAGUCUACACCACAGAGAAAGUACCUGGACUUACAGUCGAUCUCCUCUGAGACACCUGAGAAAUAGGAAGAUAAGCUGAGUUAUCAGACACCACAGCACUGAUGACAAGUACAAGACAGAAGCUUGGAUGUCCAGCAGAGAGAACGACAGAGAAAGAAAAAACAUCUUCAUCUGCCAGUACUCACCUCCAUAUAACCUUCUCACAACCAUAACUUUCCUUACUCUGUUACCAAGAGUACAGGAAGAGGCUCAGAAACUGCCACUCCAAUACAAAUCCCUGAUCACGCUGGUAGCUCAACCAAUCAGCAGAUGUAUAGAGACACCUGAUCUGAACAGUGCGUGUGCAGUAUGACACUCCUUGUAUGAAGUCGUUUUAAUGUUAAAAGUUACAAACAUUCCGAAUCAAUGUUAAAAGUUACAAAUGUUCUGUUUUAAUGUUAAAAGUAAACAUUUCUGUUUUUAUGUUUAAAGUUACAAACGUUCCGUUUCAAUGUGAAAAGUUACAUACGUUCCAUUUUAAUGUUAAAAGUAAACAUUUCUGUUUUUAUGUUUAAAGAUACAAAUGUUCCGUUUCAAUGUUAAAAGUUUCCAACCCCCACACUCUACCCGUCCUUACUCCCUAGUUUAACCUAUACCUAAAUGUCUUACUUUCAACCCCUGCCCCAUCUCUCCAUACCCUACCUGCCGACUGGUCCUAGCCCAGCCCAGACCUACCCUCCUUUCCUCUCAGACCCUACCCCUCACCACUGGGUGUUCCCUGCCUUACCUUAGCCCUUCGUAUCCUCUUCCUCCUGACUACAACACCCUUCCCUCCCUGUCCUCCUCCUACCCCUCUCUUCCCCAGUGGUUGGUUUGGGCUAGGGUUCGGAUGGGGCUGAGCCUUCUCCCAGAAUCACAUAGCUGGGAACUUAGUCAGCGGAGGGCAUGUGACUCAUCCCAGAGCUGCACCCAAACUACGCUCUAUAUGGUCUUCUGUUAAGACUACCACGCUUGUGUACACACACAUAUGUGCACGUGCACACACACAAUACACACGUGCAUGAGUGGUACAGCAUGAACACGCACAAAAAUAGGAAAGUACAUACAUACACAACCAGUCAUAGUAGUAUGGGAUGUGGGAGAAACGUCUGGGGCUGACACAGUCCAUUCAUAAUUAUUUUAAAUGGACAGCGUGAGUCACAUUGAGGAUAGACCUGUAUUACCCACACUGCUUUUCUGGCUACUAAAACCUUUGCAAGUUCAUGAAGCUGGAGUCUGUAGCUACGUAAAGACACCGUUAUACCACUGUAGGUACUCUCGUGGCUUUCAAAAGACAAUGACUGAAGUAGGGAUUCAAAACGAAUGAAGUAGGGAUUCAAAAUGACUGAAGUGGGAAAUCAAAUUGACUGAAGUAGGGAAUCAAAAUGACUGAAGUAGGGAAUCAAAACGACUGAAGUAGGAAAUCAAAAUGACUGAAGUAGGGAAUCAAAAUGACUGAAGUAGGGAAUCAAAAUGACUGAAGUAGGAAAUCAAAAUGACUGAAGUAGGGAAUCAAAAUGACUGAAGUAGGAAAUCAAAAUGACUGAAGUAGGGAUUCAAAAUGACUGAAGUAGGGAAUCAAAAUGACUGAAGUAGGAAAUCAAAAUGACUGAAGUAGGGAAUCAAAAUGACUGAAGUAGGGAUCAAAAUGACUGAAGUAGGUAAAUGAGGAAAUGUAAAUGAUGCCAAAUUAUGAAUAUAAUAUACAUUUGAAAUUAUGGAUUUUUUGGGGGCCAGUAUAAAAUUAUUAUUAUGACCCAGUUACUACAUAAUGCAUAGUGGUUGGGUGGGGCUCUAGGAAACCCAGU